rnacentral:rRNA from 1 species
UACGGGGGGAGCAAGCGUUGUUCGGAUUUACUGGGCGUAAAGGGCGCGUAGGCGGCCAGCACAAGUCAGUUGUGAAAUCUCCGAGCUUAACUCGGAAAGGUCAACUGAUACUGUGCGGCUAGAGUGCAGAAGGGGCAACUGGAAUUCUUGGUGUAGCGGUGAAAUGCGUAGAUAUCAAGAGGAACACCUGCGGCGAAGGCGGGUUGCUGGGCUGACACUGAC